ensembl:snoRNA SNORD82 Small nucleolar RNA SNORD82
AGCACAAGUGAUGAACAACAAAGGGACUUAAUACUGAAACCUGAUGUGAUACUGUGAUGUCUGAUGUGC